GUGUAUGAUAGUGUAGUGGUCAGGGUGUUUGACUACCAGCCAAAAGGUUCUGGGUUCGAUCCCCAAUGUGUGCA